AGCAAAUCCAGCUGUUGGGAGGAAUUGCUUCCAGAUGACAUUAUGGGAAAGGAAAACACACUUUAUUAAAAAGCUGCAGAAUAAAAAGCAGAACAUGUACGCUCUGUGGGCCAGGAUUUCAUAUGGACUAUUUCCUGAUGUUGUGCAAUAAGCCAGCUCCUGGGGUAAUAAUAACAGAGCAAAUAUUCCCUGUGCUCGAGUCAGGAGGCAAGAGCUGGGACUGGACGUGGCAGAACUGGGAGAAAAUCACUUGACCUCGCUGGCCACCGUAUUUUUCUCCCUCUCACAAGCUGCUUCCCACCUUCGCUGGGGAUCCCUGGGAAAGCCUCAGGAAAUACCUCUGUAUGCUGAAUGAUGUGAGAGAAACCAUGGAAAAGUCCUUCUGUCAUCUCCGUGCUUCUGCCACUUGUCCCACUGGGCACCAUCACAAGUCCCUUGGAGCCAAACCAGGGCACCUCUGCUGAACUUUGAACAGCCAAUCUUUUCUGACUUGUGCUACAAAGUAAACUCAUCAGUUUGAAGUGUAAAGACAAGAUCCCAGGCAGGAAACCAGAAUCACAGAAGGCUUCAUAUUCAAUCCAGAGUGAAGGCAAAGUGAGUGAAAUGGUCUUAAUGGUUAUUGAAACCAAGCUGUAACAGUCUAGUGAGCUUCGACCUUUCCAGUGCCACACCAGGGCCCUCCCACCUCUAUUACUGAA